rnacentral:rRNA from 1 species
GAAACGACUGCUAAGACUGGAUAGGAGACAAGAGGGCAUCUUCUUAUUUUUAAAAGACCUAGCAAUAGGUAUGCUUAGGGAGGAGCUUGCGUCACAUUAGUUAGUUGGUGGGGUAAAGGCCUACCAAGACUAUGAUGUGUAGCCGGGCUGAGAGGUUGAACGGCCACAUUGGGACUGAGACACGGCCCAAACUCCUACGGGAGGCAGCAGUAGGGAAUUUUCGGCAAUGGAGGAAACUCUGACCGAGCAACGCCGCGUGAACGAUGAAGUAUUUCGGUACGUAAAGUUCUUUUAUUAGGGAAGAAUAAAUGAUGGAAAAAUCAUUCUGACGGUACCUAAUGAAUAAGCCCCGGCUAACUAUGUGCCAGCAGCCGCGGUAAUACAUAGGGGGCAAGCGUUAUCCGGAAUUAUUGGGCGUAAAGGGUGCGUAGGCGGUUAAAUAAGUUUAUGGUCUAAGUGCAAUGCUCAACAUUGUGAUGCUAUAAAAACUGUUUAGCUAGAGUAAGAUAGAGGCAAGUGGAAUUCCAUGUGUAGUGGUAAAAUGCGUAAAUAUAUGGAGGAACACCAGUAGCGAAGGCGGCUUGCUGGGUCUUUACUGACGCUGAGGCACGAAAGCGUGGGGAGCAAACAGGAUUAGAUACCCUGGUAGUCCACGCCGUAAACGAUGAGUACUAAACGUUGGGUAAAACCAGUGUUGAAGUUAACACAUUAAGUACUCCGCCUGAGUAGUACGUACGCAAGUAUGAAACUUAAAGGAAUUGACGGGACUCCGCACAAGCGGUGGAUCAUGUUGUUUAAUUCGAAGGUACCCGAAAAACCUCACCAGGUCUUGACAUGCUUCUGCAAAGCUGUAGAAACACAGUGGAGGUUAUCAGUUGCACAGGUGGUGCAUGGUUGUCGUCAGCUCGUGUCGUGAGAUGUUGGGUUAAGUCCCGCAACGAGCGCAACCCUUAUUGUUAGUUACCAGCACGUAAUGGUGGGGACUUUAGCAAGACUGCCAGUGAUAAAUUGGAGGAAGGUGGGGACGACGUCAAAUCAUCAUGCCCCUUAUGACCUGGGCUACAAACGUGAUACAAUGGCUGUUACAAAGGGUAGCUGAAGCGCAAGUUUUUGGCGAAUCUCAAAAAAACAGUCUCAGUUCGGAUUGAAGUCUGCAACUCGACUUCAUGAAGUUGGAAUCGCUAGUAAUCGCGAAUCAGCAUGUCGCGGUGAAUACGUUCUCGGGGUUUGUACACACCGCCCGUCA